UACGUAGGGGGCAAGCGUUGUCCGGAAUCAUUGGGCGUAAAGCGCGUGUAGGCGGCUCGGUAAGUCCGCUCUGAAAGUCCAGGGCUCAACCCUGGGAUGCGGGUGGAUACUGCCGGGCUCGAGUCCGGAAGAGGCGAGUGGAAUUCCCGGUGUAGCGGUGAAAUGCGCAGAUAUCGAGAGGAACACCUGCGGCGAAGGCGGGUUGCUGGGCUGACACUGACGCUGAUGCGCGAAAGCUAGGGAAGCGAACGGG
rnacentral:rRNA from 1 species